rnacentral:rRNA from 1 species
AUUGAACGCUGGCAGCAGGCCUAACACAUGCAAGUCGAGCGAGCGGCGGACGGGGGAGUAAUGCCUGGGAAUUGCCCAGUCGAGGGGGAUAACAGUUGGAAACGACUGCUAAUACCGCAUACGUUUGGCUGUCCCAGGGGUGAGUAGCUAGUUUGUGAGGUAAUGGCUCACCAAGGCGACGAUCCCUAGCUGGUCUGAGAGGAUGAUCGGCCACACUGGAACUGAGACACGGUCCAGACUCCUACGUGAGGCAGCGGUGGGGAAUAUUGCGCAAUGGGGGAAACCCGGAUGCAGCCAUGCCGCGUGUGUGAAGAAGGCCUUCGGGUUGUAAAGCACUUUCAGCGAGGAGGCGGUAGGCGAAGAAGAAGCACCGGCUAACUCCGUGCCAGCAGCCGCGGUAAUAG